rnacentral:lncRNA from 1 species
CCACAGUGUCUGAGUAGUACUGCCAGGAUGCCUCUCUAUGUUUUAGUUUACAUACGAUAUCACCUCUUGGUGAAAUGUGGACAGUGUUCUAUGGCUACAAAGUGCAGGGAGGGAGCAACCUUUUGUAAGGUGAGGCUGUCAGUACUGCCUCUGUCGUCCUCUUCCUCGGCCUCUCCUC